UGGGGAAUUGUUCGCAAUGGGCGCAAGCCUGACGACGCAACGCCGCGUGGAGGAUGAAGAUCUUCGGGUCGUAAACUCCUUUCGAUCGAGACGAAUGGCCUUCGGGUGAACAAUCCGGAGGAAUGACGGUACCGAGAGAAGAAGCCCCGGCUAACUCCGUGCCAGCAGCCGCGGUAAUACGGGGGGGGCAAGCGUUGUUCGGAAUUACUGGGCGUAAAGGGCUCGUAGGCGGCCAACUAAGUCGGAUGUGAAAUCCCCAGGCUUAACCUGGGAACUGCAUCCGAUACUGGAUGGCUUGAAUCCGGGAGAGGGAUGCAGAAUUCCAGGUGUAGCGGUGAAAUGCGUAGAUAUCUGGAGGAAUACCGGUGGCGAAGGCGGCAUCCUGGACCGGCAUUGACGCUGAGUGAGCGAAAGCUAGGGGAGCAAA
rnacentral:rRNA from 1 species